GACGAACGCUGGCGGCGUGCUUAACACAUGCAAGUCGAACGGCAAGGCCCUGCUUUUGUGGUGUGCUCGAGUGGCGAACGGGUGCGUAACACGUGAGUAACCUGCCCUUGACUUUGGGAUAACUUCAGGAAACUGGGGCUAAUACCGGAUCGGAGCUCCUGCUGCAUGGUGGGGGUUGGAAAGUUUCGGCGGUUGGGGAUGGACUCGCGGCUUAUCAGCUUGCUGGUGGGGUAGUGGCUUACCCAGGCUUUGACGGGUCGCCGGCCUGAGAGGGUGACCGGCCACAUUGGGACUGAGAUACGGCCCAGACUCCUACGGGAGGCAGCAGUGGGGAAUAUUGCACAAUGGGCGGAAGCCUGAUGCAGCAACGCCGCGUGCGGGAUGACGGCCUGCGGGUUGUAAACCGCUUUCGCCUGUGACGAAGCGUGAGUGACGGUAAUGGGUAAAGAAGCACCGGCUAACUACGUG
rnacentral:rRNA from 1 species